rnacentral:rRNA from 1 species
GCCUCUAGACAAAUAGAGGUUUUUUCUGCUCGGUGUUUUUUAACAGCCGCGGUAAUUUGACCGUGCAAAGGUAGCAUAAUCAUUUGCCUUAUAAUUGAGGGCUAGAAUGAACGAAUUAACAAAGGUUCUUCUUUAUUUUUGAGUGGUAAAUAAUUUUCUUUCUUAGUGAAGAAGCUAAGGUCAGAAAGGGGACAAGAAGACCCUUUUGAGCUUUACUAUUUUUCUUUUUGGUUAGUUUUAGUUUGGUUGGGGCGACCAAGGAGUAUCCUCCUUUAUAAUUAUGAUCCACGGUUAGUGAUUAAAAGAAUAAGUUACCAAAGGGAUAACAGCGUAAUCCUUUUUGAAAGUUCUUAUUAAAGAAGGGGGUUGCGACCUCGAUGUUGACUUAUAGUUUCCUUUUAGUGUAGCAGCUACAAGGGUGGGUCUGUUCGACCUUUAAUACUUU